GGGGUUUACCAUUUCAGAAAUGGAGAUAGAUAUGCUGGUGAAUAUUUUGGAGAUAAAAUCCACGGCUUUGGUGUAUAUCAUUUUGCCAAUGGCCACUGCUAUGAAGGGUCAUGGCAUGAAGGCCGGAAGCAAGGUUAUGGCAUGUAUACUUUCAGAAAUGGCGAUGCAAAAUGUGGUGAAUGGGAUGGUGGUGUCCUUAAGAGCCCUGUGCCUCUACUAACUGAUUCUGUCCUUAGA
rnacentral:misc_RNA from 1 species